CUCGGGUGUAGAACACCAUAGUAAAUGCAGAAAUUCACCCCAGAUUCAUCAAACAUGUCAUCCAUCCUUCUCAAAAGUGUUAUAAUAGGACUUUUAAAUGUCAUCUCUGUUUGGUCAAGUAAGUUGUUCUAAACAAAACUGACAGCCAUACAAUAAAUAAAAACAG